GACGAACGCUGGCGGCGUGCUUAACACAUGCAAGUCGAACGGAAAGGCCCUGCUUUUGUGGGGUGCUCGAGUGGCGAACGGGUGAGUAACACGUGAGUAACCUGCCCUUGACUUUGGGAUAACUUCAGGAAACUGGGGCUAAUACCGGAUAGGAGCUCCUGCUGCAUGGUGGGGGUUGGAAAGUUUCGGCGGUUGGGGAUGGACUCGCGGCUUAUCAGCUUGUUGGUGGGGUAGUGGCUUACCAAGGCUUUGACGGGUAGCCGGCCUGAGAGGGUGACCGGCCACAUUGGGACUGAGAUACGGACCAGACUCCUACGGGAGGCAGCAGUGGGGAAUAUUGCACAAUGGGCGGAAGCCUGAUGCAGCAACGCCGCGUGCGGGAUGACGGCCUUCAGGUUGUAAACCGCUUUCGCCUGUGACGAAGCGUGAGUGACGGUAAUGGGUAAAGAAGCACCGGCUAACUACGUG
rnacentral:rRNA from 1 species